GAUGAACGCUGGCGGCGUGCUUAACACAUGCAAGUCGAGCGAGUGAGUUCUUCGGAACGAUCUAGCGGCGGACGGGUGAGUAACACGUGGGCGACCUGCCUCAUGGAGGGGAAUAGCCUCCCGAAAGGGAGAUUAAUACCGCAUAAAAUUAUCGAGUGGCAUCACAUGAUAAUCAAAGGAGUAAUCCGCUAUGAGAUGGGCCCGCGGCGCAUUAGCUAGUUGGUGAGGUAACGGCUCACCAAGGCGACGAUGCGUAGCCGACCUGAGAGGGUGAUCGGCCACAUGGGGACUGAGAAACGGCCCAGACUCCUACGGGAGGCAGCAGAGGGGAAUAUUGCACAAUGGGGGAAACCUUGAUGCAGCGACGCCGCGUGAGUGAUGAAGGUCUUCGGAUUGUAAAGCUCUGUCUUUGGGGACGAUAGUGACGGUACCCAAGGAGGAAGCCACGGCUAACUACGUGCCAGCCGCCGCCGUAA
rnacentral:rRNA from 1 species